rnacentral:rRNA from 1 species
AGCGAACGCUGGCGGCGUGCCUAACACAUGCAAGUCGAACGUGAAAGGGAGCAAUCCCAAGUAAAGUGGCGUCCGGGUGAGUAACACGUAGGUAAUCUACCCCAGAAUCUGGAAUAACCGGCCGAAAGGCUGGCUAAUACUGGAUAGAGCGACGGAAUCCGUAAUUGGGUUUUUCGGGAAAGGGAGCCUGUAAAAAGGCCUUCGUUCUGGUAUGAGCCUGCGUCCCAUCAGCUAGUUGGUGAGGUAAAAGCUUACCAAGGCAAUGACGGGUAGCUGGUCUGAGAGGACGAUCAGCCACACUGGAACUGAAACACGGGCCAGACUCCUACGGGAGGCAGCAGGGGGGAAUCUUGCGCAAUGGACGAAAGUCUGACGCAGCAACGCCGCGGGAGGGAAGAAGGCCUUCGGGUUGUAAAGCUCUGUCGAGUGGGACGAAAAUGCUUGGAGUUAACAGCUCCAGGAACUGACGGUACCACUAAAGGAAGCACCGGCUAACUCCGUG